rnacentral:rRNA from 1 species
GACGAACGCUGGCGGCGUGCUUAACACAUGCAAGUCGAGCGGUAAGGCCCUUUCGGGGUACGACGAGCGGCGAACGGGUAGGAGUAACAACGUGGGUGGACCUGCCCUUACGUCUCUGGGAGUAAGACCUGGGAAACGUGGGUCUAAUACCGGAUAUGACUCCAUGACGCAUGUUGUGGGGUGGAAAGCCUUGUGCGGCUAGGGAUGGGCCCGCGGCCUAUCAGCUUGUUGGUGGGGUGAUGGCCUACCAAGGCGACGA